AUGUACCCGCAGGGUAGACACCCGUACUACGAGAUGUCCUACGGGCUCAACAUUGAGAUGCACAAACAGGCGGAGAUCGUGAAGCGACUCAGUGCUAUCUGUGCUCAAAUCAUCCCUUUCCUCUCUCAGGAGCAUCAACAGCAGGUUGUUCAGGCGGUGGAACGUGCCAAACAGGUCACCAUGGCAGAGCUCAACGCCAUCAUUGGGCAGCAGCUCCAGCACCUGUCUCACCACACUCCAGGUAUUCCUCUCACUCCUCACCCUUCAGGUCUGUCUCUGGGCGGCACAUCAGGGCUGCUGGCCCUCACCGGGGCUCUAGGAGUCUCCGCCCACCUGGCCAGCAAGGACGAACGCAAUCAUCUAGACCCCGAGCACCUGCGAGGUGAGGGUCCAUCUGAACUGUCUAUGUGCAUUUUUAAUGUCACAAAUGCAUGGGGUUAUUAA
ensembl:lncRNA